rnacentral:lncRNA from 1 species
UUUUUCUUACUUUCUUUUUCUUUUUCUUUUCUCUUACUCCUACUCUUUCAUUAUCUUUUUUUUUUUUUUUUUUUUUUUCUCUUUCUUUCUUGUUUUCAGUCUUCUAAGGUUUUUGUGUGUGUGUGUUUGGGGUUCCUCUCCUGUUUAACUUGGCUAAGGACGGACACUUGGAUGGCUUUCCCCACUGCACAGGACACCAUCUGCAUCAGCCUCCGGUUUUCCUAUGGAACUGUGUAUUUAACAUUCUUCAUCCUGAGAUGUUAAUGGGACUGAUGUCAGCAUCCACUCAGCACAGUUUUGCCAUCCAGCAUCUCGGCUCUUGUUACGGUUAAUGGAAAGGAGAGCAUUUAUGUACCUGCAGGAUCUUUUCCUAGUGUCCUCUGAUACAUAAAGAAGAUUUGUGAAACAAACAAAAGCUUCUCUAAGGGGAGAAGGACUGGACUAGAGGUACCUUCACACAUCGGAGAGUCCGUGGUUCCAUGAUUCUGUAUUCAAAGAAAGCCCUUCUGGAGUAGCAUGGAGACAAAAUAACUUCUCUGAUAGGAGAGGAACGAGUGAAAUGGCACCAAUUUAUCUUGAGACAAGCAAGAAAGGAAGCAGAAAAAGGCAUGAAAUGUUCCAGGUACCUGUCCCAGAAAAGAAGAAGAACAGCAUACCCCGGAGGACUUUGCAUUCAGAGAGGAGAUAAAACACCUGGCAAAGUCAAGGGACCUAGCUCUCUUCCCUUCUGCUCGCCCUGACUGCACAUCUCAUCUCAGCAUUAGAGUAAGGCCCUUGGCUUUUGGACAGUCUCUCUCAUUAUAUUUGACUUAUUAGCUUCAAUUCUAAUUAUAUUGUAUUAUAUUGUAUUAUAGUGUGUUAUCUUUCAUUCCGAUGUUUUAUUUAGUAAAACAGUUCGCUUCUUCUCAGACUGUUGCUGUUGUUCUGUUUUUAGGUCCAUCUCUCUACCCUUUUCCCCAUUUUUCCCUGUUUCUGUUUUUCAAGGCACGGAUCUGUGGGUCCCUCUGUCCCACUAGUCACAGAACUGGGCCAAACCAGCCCAUAAACCUUUGACAGUGUCUGACAUGGAAACAUACAUGAAGCAAAGGUGUGUCACUGAAUUCCUCUGUGCAGAAAAAAAUGGCACCCAUUGACACCAGUGCUUGCUGAAUGUUUUUUAUGGAGAUCAAGCACAGUGAACGCAGUGAGGUGAUGAGUGGCACGUUUCAGCAGUGGUUACAGUGACAUGAAAGACAAGACACAUUCCAGAUGGCCAUGUACGGCUUUCACACCACAAAAUGAAGAGCAUCUCAAUUGGAUCAUCUGUACAAAUCAGUGGAUUACAACCAGGAAACUAUGUACAGAACUAGAUCAGUGUGUUGGGAAUGAUGGUGACAGUGUUGGAGUAUCGCAGCAUUUGAGCCAGGUUGUUCCUACUGAUGCUCACAGAGUAACAGAAGGAACAUCAUAUGGAAGUUUGUCAGGACCUAUUGAACCAAUACAAGGCUGAAGGUGACAGUUUCUUAGACCACAUCAUUAUCAGUGAUGAGACAUGAUGUCACCACUACAAGCCAGAGUCAAAACAGAAGUCCAUGAUGUGGUGGCAUGUGAAUUACUCACCAUAUAAAAAGUUCAAGACAAAGCCCUCAGUUGGUAAAGUGAUAUGCACUGCCUUUUGAGACAGGAAAGGAGUGAUCCUUCUAGAUUUCCUGGAACCUGGACAAAUCGUCAACUCUGACCACUACAUUGUGAUGUUGACUAAGCUGAAGACUCAAACUUCCAGAAUGAGGCCAGAGAUCAAGAUAACCUGAUGAACAAGAUGGCUGCAUGAUAAUGCCAGGCUCCAUACCAUUUUUAAAACUGUGGAUCAUGUUGCCAGUCCUGUGUGGAUGUGGUAAGCUGUACUGUCUUACUACACCCACCACAUAGUCCAGAUUUGAUAUCUUCUGUGUGGGCUACAUUUUCUUAGCAGCUAUGCCACUACAGCAUCUGUGAAACAGUGGGUCCACUGCUCUACUAGUGCAGAUUUUUACAAGCAUGGCAUGCAAGCUGGCAAAAAUGCAUUGCUGGUAAAAAAUGCAUUGGUAGUGGUGGUGACUAUGUGGAAGAGUAGCGUUCUGUAGCUGAGAGUUUUCUCUAUCAAAUAGCGCUAUUGUUCUCGUUGUAUCUGUUGUAGUUUCCAUGGAAAUAAAUAGGAAGCAUUAAUUUUGAAGCAACUUAUGUGUAAAGUACUGAUAUAAAUCUGUCUUUUGUUUAAGUUCCUUCCUUACAACUUUUCCUUUUGUUUCAGUUCUCUAAUUGGAAAAUGCAGAAAAAAAAAAAGCAGAAAUCUUCCUUGUAAAUUGUUUUAAGAUUAAGCUUCUUAUUAAAAGCAAACUUUACUUAUUAGAACCUUAAAGACUUAAAGAACCUUACUCAUUGAGGGGAACUACCUCAUGCUUUCUUAGUAGCAAUAACAAAAUGUUUUUUGUGGUUUUUUUUUUGUUUGUUUGUUUUUGUUUUUUUUUUUUUUGGUCACAUCCUGCUCAACUACAAAGGAUAACACAGAAAGUCUGCUUUUUAGAGCUGUUUUUUUUUUUUUUUUUUUUUAAUCCUUAUACCCACGAGCUUCAGUCAUCUUUAAGAUUUAGUACUGGAGGGCUGCUAAUUAGAAUCAGAUUUGUAAUAGUUUCGUUCAUUCUUUUGAAGACCCUCAUGUAAGAAAUUUUCUGAUUAAUUAUCAAUAAACUUGAAAUAUAGAUGCAGAGAAUCGUAAAUAUAUGGCUACAAGGGAUCUGGUGAAGAUGUCUAAUUCAAUUACUUGACCCAUGGCAAGAUCAUCUGCAGCUAAAGUAUUUCUGACGUAUUUAUCAAGUCUAGUCAUAGGACUAUCAGCAGUGGACAUUGUGCAACCUCUCAAGACAAACUCUUUUCAAGACAAAAAAAAAAAAAAAAAAUCAAAACACAGCCUUGUGUUCUAGAGACAGGAUAUAAAUUAUGGCUGUUUUUAUUUCUCCUAGAUGAUGUGGUGGUAGCUGGGACUAUAUGAGAUGACUGGAUAUGUGUGUGAAUUGAUUGUCAGAUAAUCUUGUUUAUGAAAUAUAAGCAUGAUACCAGACUACAUAGUUUAAAGAUAAUUGUCUCAAGGAUUCUGACUUUAGACAUAUUAAGAAUAUGUUCUGGAUUCUUCAGAGAAUCCCAAAAGUUUUAAAAACACAAAUGUAAUUAGGAAUCUUUGUAUUCAGAAGUGGGAUGUGGACUUUAGAAAGACGUACAGCUCUCACCC